rnacentral:tRNA from 1 species
ACCUGGCUGGCUCAGUCGGCAGAGCAGCAAACUUUUGAUCUUGGAGUUGUGAGUUCGAGUCCCACAUUGGGUA